rnacentral:misc_RNA from 1 species
UACGUAGGGGGCAAGCGUUGUCCGGAAUUAUUGGGCGUAAAGCGCGCGCAGGCGGUCAUUUAAGUCUCAUGUAUAAACCCAAGGCUCAACCUUGGAUCGCAUGGGAAACUGGGUGGCUUGAGUGUAGGAGGGGAAAGUGGAAUUCCACGUGUAGCGGUGAAAUGCGUAGAGAUGUGGAGGAACACCAGUGGCGAAGGCGACUUUCUGGUCUGUAACUGACGCUGGGGCGCGAAAGCGUGGGGAGCAAACAGG